GAUGAACGCUAGCUACAGGCUUAACACAUGCAAGUCGAGGGGAAACGACAUCGAAAGCUUGCUUUUGAUGGGCGUCGACCGGCGCACGGGUGAGUAACGCGUAUCCAACCUGCCCACCACUUGGGGAUAACCUUGCGAAAGUAAGACUAAUACCCCAUGACGUCUCUAGAAGACAUCUGAAAGAGAUUAAAGAUUUAUCGGUGCUGGAUGGGGAUGCGUCUGAUUAGCUUGUUGGCGGGGUAACGGCCCACCAAGGCGACGAUCAGUAGGGGUUCUGAGAGGAAGGUCCCCCACAGUGGAACUGGGACACUGUCCAAACUCCUACGGGAGGCAGCAGUGAGGAAGAUUGGUCAAUGGACGAGAGUCUGAACCAGCCAAGUAGCGUGCAGGAUGACGGCCCUAUGGGUUGUAAACUGCUUUUAUAAGGGAAUAAAGUGAGUCUCGUGAGACUUUUUGCAUGUACCUGAUGAAUAAGGACCGGCUAAUUCCGUG
rnacentral:rRNA from 1 species